CAGCAGCCGCGGGAAUACGAAGGGGGCUAGCGUUGCUCGGAAUUACAGGGCGUAAAGCGCACGCAGGCGGCUCGAUAAAUUAGAAGUGAAAGCCUUGGGCUUAACCUGAGAAUUGCUUUUAAGACUGUCGAGCUAGAAUCCAGAAGAGGGUAGUGGAAUUCCGAGUGUAGAGGUGAAAUUCGUAGAUAUUCGGAAGAACACCAGUGGCGAAGGCGACUACCUGGUCUGGCAUUGACGUUCAUGUGCGAAAGCGUGGGGAGCAAACAGGAUUAGAUACCCCCGUAGUCCCUGUCUCUUAUAC
rnacentral:rRNA from 1 species